AUGCCUCCCUCUGAAAAUAGGCUGAGGGACUGGGCUGGUCUCGGGGACGGGCUGGCGGGGACGAUCGCCGACCGCGUCCUCGCCCACGACGUCGCCGACUACCUCCGCUUCCGCGCCGCGUGCGGCCCGUGGCGGCGGUGCUGCGCGGACCCGCGCGCGCACGGCGGCCUCGACCGCCGGUUCCACCCCCGGCGGUGGCUCAUGCUCCGGGAACCCCGGGAGCGAAUCGACGCCCCCAACCGCCGCCGCUUCCUCAACUCCUCCACCGGCGAGUGCAUCCAGGUGCACCUCCCGGAGCUCCACAACCAGGAGGUGCUCGCCCUCACCGCCGAGGGCCUGCUCGUCGUGCUCGACUGGCCGCGGAGCACCAAGGUGCACCUGCUCAACCCGCUGACGCGCCAUCUCACCCAGCUCCCGCCGCUCACCGCGCUGGUGUCCCAUCAGGGGAACGACGGCCUCCUUUUCACCGCCGCUUUCGACACCCACUUUCCGGCCUGGGGCUCCGGCGUUCUCAGCGAUGAUUCCACGGUGGUGCUCUCCUUCAACAGGCUCAACAUGCUCGGCAUGGCAAAGCCCGGCGAUGACCACUGGACGGUGUUGAACUUCCACAAUCUGCUGCGAACGGCUUCCUCGAUGAUCGCAGGACGGUUCUACUGUGCCACCAUUGACGGCGUCAUGGUGCUGGAGGAUCAGCCGCCACGCCUGGAGCUGGCUGCCAAGCUGCCUAUGCCGGUUUCCCCGAUGGCAGACACUCUGCACCUGAUGGACAGUGCCGGAGAGCUGACGCUGGUGCACCGUAGGUUCUCGCGACACCAUGACAACAAUAACGCGGCCAAGAGGAGGUACGACGUGUAUCGACUGGAUCUGGGCGCCGGGACUUUGUGCCGAGCCAACAGCUUCGGCGGCGGGGGACAUGCCUUGUUCAUCGGCAUGUACUGCUCUCUCUCGGUGCCUAUCAAGGCCUUCCCUUCUGGCGCCAUUAGAGGCGACACCGUCUACCUGAGCUUCGACAUUGCAGAGAGGAACCGAACUGAGGGCUACCGUCUUGCAGACAGAAGCGCCAUUAGCAGCGAUAGCCUGAGCUCCCACUCGGCGCUGCAGCCGCAUAAUCUUGUCGACUGUCUCUCCUUGUGCAGCACUGGUCGGAUCUGGUGUCACUUCGAAAAACAUCUUGUCAGUCAUUGUAGACGAUAG
rnacentral:rRNA from 1 species